UGACCCCGUGCGGGAGAGUCCUCCGGAGCGAAUCCGAAGGCGCCGAAGGAGCAAAUCCUCCCCGGAAUCUCUCAGGCCCCCGUACCGCACGGACGAG
rfam:Streptomyces sp. Ncost-T10-10d genome assembly, contig: Ga0115254_1167